AUCCAGCUGACGAGUCUCAAAUAGGACGAAACGCGCAUUCUGGAU
rfam:Schistosoma mansoni strain Puerto Rico chromosome 7, complete genome